GUAUGCUGUGACAACUUCCUCCUUUUGUUCAACUUAUUGAUGCUAAGUGCUUUCCUCUUGUAGGAGUGCUUCAUUUAGCAUUUGCUUCAGAUCUUGAGUUUACUUGCUUUUCCUGUAAUGUUUGUUGUUACCUAGCUGACUUUUUAAGCAGAUAUUCAUGCUGUUUGCUGUGUCCCCUGAGAAGAUGCCACUGGUGUUGCCGAAUAUCAGAAAAGUUCUUAAGGCAAUGAUUAGUAAAUGCCAGUAUGAAAUUUUGAAAAUCUGUAAUUGAUAUUACUAUUAUGAUCUCUUAAUGUGAUUUCAACUUUUCUUUCUCCAGCCAAAUGGUUAUUUGCUAUUCUGUGACUAUGCCACGACCUUGCUCAGUGGAGAAUGAGCUCUUUCAAUGGAGAAUGCGCUCUUUCAAUUCAAUGGAGAAUUUUAUAGUAAUAUUCCAGUUGCUUUGGAUGCUCUCUUGGGAGGGUGCACGGAGUGGAAGCUAGAGCGCUGGACUGUACUUUGUGAAAACGUCUUAUGAUUGGAUACUUUUCUUGGUUUGUAUGUUUGAGGUUGUUAAAGUCGUAUUUUAGAGUUUAGUAGUUAUACAAUUAGUAUUUUAGAGAUUAGUCGUAUUUUAGAGGUUGUUAAAGUUGUAUUUUAGAGAUUAGUGGAAACUAGAGUCAUAUUUUAGAGACUAAUUGAUUUACGAUUUGCAGUUAUAUUUUUUGGAUGUUUAAAGUUGUAUUUUAGAGAUUAGUGAACCUUAUGAUUUGGAUACUUUUCUUGA